rnacentral:rRNA from 1 species
CGCGCAGGCGGCCUUUUAAGUCUGAUGUGAAAGCCCACGGCUCAACCGUGGAAGGUCAUUGGAAACUGAAAGGCUUGAGUACAGAAGAGGAAAGCGGAAUUCCACGUGUAGCGGUGAAAUGCGUAGAGAUGUGGAGGAACACCAGUGGCGAAGGCGGCUUUCUGGUCUGUAACUGACGCUGAGGCGCGAAAGCGUGGGGAGCAAACAGGAUUAGAUACCCUGGUAGUCCACGCCGUAAACGAUGAGUGCUAAGUGUUAGGGGGUUUCCGCCCCUUAGUGCUGGAGCAAACGCAUUAAGCACUCCGCCUGGGGAGUACGGCCGCAAGGCUGAA